rnacentral:tmRNA from 1 species
GGGGUUGAUUCUGGAUUCGACGGGAUUUGCGAAACCCAAGGUGCAUGCCGAGGGGCGGUUGGCCUCGUUAAAAGCCGCAAAAAAAUAGUCGCAAACGACGAAAACUACGCUUUAGCAGCUUAAUAACCUGCUCUGAGCCCUCUCUCCCUAGCUUCCGCUCUUAAGACG